rnacentral:rRNA from 1 species
AUGCAAGUCGAGGGGCAGCAUGGAAGAAGCUUGCUUCUUCUGAUGGCGACCGGCGCACGGGUGCGUAACGCGUAUCAAACCUGCCUCAUACUCGGGGAUAGCCUUGCGAAAGUAAGAUUAAUACCCGAUGUUGUUAUGUUACCGCAUGGUGAUAUAACCAAAGAUUUAUCGGUAUGAGAUGGUGAUGCGUCCGAUUAGGUAGUAGGCGGGGUAACGGCCCACCUAGCCUUCGAUCGGUAGGGGUUCUGAGAGGAAGGUCCCCCACACUGGAACUGAGACACGGCCCAGACUCCUACGGGAGGCAGCAGUGAGGAAUAUUGGUCAAUGGACGCAAGUCUGAACCAGCCAAGUAGCGUGCAGGAUGACGGCCCUCUGGGUUGUAAACUGCUUUUAGUUGGGAAUAAAAAAGAGGACGUGUCCUCUAUUGUAUGUACCUUCAGAAAAAGGACCGGCUAAUUCCGUGCCAGCAGCCGCGGUAAUACGGAAGGUCCAGGCGUUAUCCGGAUUUAUUGGGUUUAAAGGGAGCGUAGGCGGAUUAUUAAGUCAGUGGUGAAAGACGGUGGCUCAACCAUCGUUAGCCAUUGAAACUGGUAGUCUUGAGUGCAGACAGGGAUGCUGGAACUCGUGGUGUAGCGGUGAAAUGCUUAGAUAUCACGAUGAACUCCGAUCGCGAAGGCAGGUGUCCGGGCUGCAACUGACGCUGAGGCUCGAAAGUGUGGGUAUCAAACAGGAUUAGAUAUCCUGGUAGUCCACACAGUAAACGAUGUAUACUCGCGGUUUGCGAUAGAAUGUAAGCCGCCAAGC